rnacentral:rRNA from 1 species
UACGUAGGGUGCAAGCGUUGUCCGGAUUUAUUGGGCGUAAAGAGCGUGUAGGCGGCCUUACAGGUCAGCUGUGAAAACUCGAGGCUCAACCUCGAGACGUCGGUUGAAACCGUAUGGCUAGAGUCCGGAAGAGGAGAGUGGAAUUCCCGGUGUAGCGGUGAAAUGCGCAGAUAUCGGGAAGAACACCCGUGGCGAAGGCGGCUCUCUGGGACGGUACUGACGCUGAGACGCGAAAGCGUGGGGAGCGAACAGG